GGGCCUAUAGCUCAGGUGGUUAGAGCGCAUCCCUGAUAAGGAUGAGGUCGGAGGUUCAAGUCCUCCUAGGCCCAC
rnacentral:tRNA from 1 species